GACGAACGCUGGCGGCGUGCUUAACACAUGCAAGUCGAACGGAAAGGCCCUGCUUUUGUGGGGUGCUCGAGUGGCGAACGGGUGAGUAACACGUGAGUAACCUGCCCUUGACUUUGGGAUAACUUCAGGAAACUGGGGCUAAUACCGGAUAGGAGCUCCUGCUGCAUGGUGGGGGUUGGAAAGUUUCGGCGGUUGGGGAUGGACUGGCGGCUUAUCAGCUAGUUGGUGGGGUAGUGGCUUACCAAGGCUUUGACGGAUAGCCCGCCGGAGAGGGUGACCGGCCUCAUUGGGCCUGAGAUACGGCCCAGACUCCUACGGGAGGCAGCAGUGGGGAAUAUGGCACAAUGGGAGGAAGCCUGAUGCAGCAACGCCGCGUGCGGGAUGACGGCCUUCGGGUUGUAAACCGCUUUCGCCUGUGACGAAGCGGGAGUGACGGUAAUGGGUAAAGAAGCACCGGCUAACUACGUG
rnacentral:rRNA from 1 species